UCUGGUGGCGCGUGCCUGUAGUCCCAGCUACUAGGGAGGCUGAGGCUGGAGGAUCGCUUGAGUCCAGGAGUUCUGGGCUGUAGUGCACUAUGCCGAUCGGGUGUCCGCAUUAAGUUUGGCAUCAAUAUGGUGACCUCCCAGGAGCGGGGGACCACCAGGUUGCCUAAGGAGGGGUGAACCGGCCCAGGUCGGAAACGGAGCAGGUCAAAACUCCCGUGCUGAUCAAAUACCUAUUUUCUGUUCAAAGUGAAUUUCUUGAGUCUACCUGCAGGUGAAUUCUUUU
rnacentral:SRP_RNA from 1 species